rnacentral:other from 2 species
AGGUCCCUGCCCUGCUGGUGAUGACGUCGAGCGUUCUUGAGCCAACAGUCAUCAAAAGGGAGUCCGGAAAGGGUCGGGAAUGGGACCCCCGCGAGGGGGUGCAGGAACGACCGGAUCCGACACCCACCUGGUAACCCAGGUUCGAGAGCUCAGUGUCACACCGCAGUGUGGCGGGGAUCUU